rnacentral:rRNA from 1 species
UACGUAGGGUGCGAGCGUUAAUCGGAAUUACUGGGCGUAAAGCGUGCGCAGGCGGUUUUGUAAGCCGGAUGUGAAAUCCCCGGGCUUAACCUGGGAAUGGCAUUCGGGACUGCAAGGCUGGAGUGCGGCAGAGGAGACUGGAAUUCCUGGUGUAGCAGUGAAAUGCGUAGAUAUCAGGAGGAACACCGAUGGCGAAGGCAGGUCUCUACACAUAUAUUGACUCUGAGGCACGAAAGCGUGGGGAUCAAACAGG